CAGUCGCCACGGUAAUACGUAGGUGGCAAGCGUUGUCCGGAAUUAUUGGGCGUAAAGGGCUCGCAGGCGGUUUCUUAAGUCUGAUGUGAAAGCCCCCGGCUCAACCGGGGAGGGUCAUUGGAAACUGGGAAACCUGAGUGCAGAAGAGGAGAGUGGAAUUCCACGUGUAGCGGUGAAAUGCGUAGAGAUGUGGAGGAACACCAGUGGCGAAGGCGACUCUCUGGUCUGUAACUGACGCUGAGGAGCGAAAGCGUGGGGAGCGAACAGGAUUAGAUACCCCCGUAGUCCCUGUCUCUUAUAC
rnacentral:rRNA from 1 species